GCCUUCGUCGUGUAAUGGCCAGCACACUCGGCGCAUAUUCGAUAGGGCCGAGGUUCAAAUCCCAGCAAAGGUA
rnacentral:tRNA from 1 species